UCAGCGCGUUAGGUGAACCGCGAAAGGCUCAUUAAAUCAGUUAUGGUUCCUUAGAUCGUACCCACAUUUACUUGGAUAACUGUGGUAAUUCUAGAGCUAAUACAUGCAAACAGAGUCCCGACCAUACAGGAAGGGAUGCUUUUAUUAGAUCAAAACCAAUCGGCGGCGGCGUGUUCUACGCGCGUCCGUUUGCCGUUCAACUCUGGUGACUCUGAAUAACUUUAAGCUGAUCGCACGGUCUCGCACCGGCGACGCAUCUUUCAAAUGUCUGCCUUAUCAACUGUCGAUGGUAGGUUCUGCGCCUACCAUGGUCGUAACGGGUAACGGGGAAUCAGGGUUCGAUUCCGGAGAGGGAGCCUGAGAAACGGCUACCACAUCCAAGGAAGGCAGCAGGCGCGCAAAUUACCCACUCCCGGCACGGGGAGGUAGUGACGAAAAAUAACGAUACGGGACUCAUCCGAGGCCCCGUAAUCGGAAUGAGUACACUUUAAAUCCUUUAACGAGGAUCAAUUGGAGGGCAAGUCUGGUGCCAGCAGCCGCGGUAAUUCCAGCUCCAAUAGCGUAUAUUAAAGUUGUUGCGGUUAAAAAGCUCGUAGUUGAAUCUGUGUCCCGCGCCGUCGGUUCGCCGCUCGCGGCGAUGACUGGCGCGUCUGCGGGACGUCCUGCCGGUGGGCGCGGUCGGCCGCGCGUUUCGGCCGGCGUCGUCGCCGUCGUUCCAUUUAUGGGCGGCGGUCGGUCGGCGUCGGUGUCGGGCGUGCGUGUCCGGCGGCCCGACUUUAAAAAUCCCGUCGCGGUGCUCUUCGCCGAGUGUCGAGGCGGGCCGGCACGUUUACUUUGAACAAAUUAGAGUGCUCAAAGCAGGCUAAAACUUCGCCUGAAUACUGUGUGCAUGGAAUAAUGGAAUAGGACCUCGGUUCUAUUUUGUUGGUUUUCGGAACCCCGAGGUAAUGAUUAAUAGGGACAGAUGGGGGCAUUCGUAUUGCGACGUUAGAGGUGAAAUUCUUGGAUCGUCGCAGACGAACAGAAGCGAAAGCAUUGCCAAAAAUGUUUUCAU
rnacentral:rRNA from 1 species